UAUAGAGUCUCUGCCAUGCCCUACCCCCACCAUCUACUCCCCUUAUUUUACAAUCAUUUAUUUAGACUUUCCCUUUUCCUUUUCCCUCCCCUGCACAACCAGCUGGGGCCCUGAACAUUUAAGGUACAAGGAUUCACUGAUCAUUUCUGCAGCAACAUUGGCCAAUUCUAUGUCAAGGUCAAGAUCAAUCUAAGUUCUGGGAGCAACCUCCUGGAAGGAGCAGUCAGCAAUGGAGCGUUCGGCACCUGAGCAGCGCACUGAAUUCAUGUGAAUUGGCCCAGUUCCUGCAGUGAAGCAAUGGUAUUAGCCUCCCACAGGCACAACAAGAUCAUUACCUCGAUUCUCCACACAAAAGCGUGAAGUCAAAUGCCACCAGGUGAGAAGACCACAGGCAGUGAAGAAAGAACAGAGGCCCAGGGCAUUCAACAUGGUAUGGAGUCCUUAGGCACUGAAUUUGUCUCUCAAAGCUGAACUUUUCGAAUGACUGUUUAAAAGCUUCAGUGUUUCUCACAAGUUUCUUUUAAGCCCUAGUGGAGGAUUUAGUUCCUCAUCUGGGUUUGAAAUCUUACUGAAAAUUACAAACCAACAGAUAAUCCACUAAAGAAAUUCUGUAGCAGUGUGAUGAGAAUGUUGUG